rnacentral:rRNA from 1 species
UACGGAGGGUGCAAGCGUUAUCCGGAUUCACUGGGUUUAAAGGGUGCGUAGGAGGGCAGGUAAGUCAGUGGUGAAAUCUCCAAGCUUAACUUGGAAACUGCCGUUGAUACUAUCUGUCUUGAAUACUGUGGAGGUCAGCGGAAUAUGUCAUGUAGCGGUGAAAUGCUUAGAUAUGACAUAGAACACCAAUUGCGAAGGCAGCUGGCUACACAAAUAUUGACACUGAGGCACGAAAGCGUGGGGAUCAAACAGG